UAAACCUGGUUGAUCCUGCCAGUAGUCAUAUGCUUGUCUUAAAGAUUAACCCAUGCAUGUGUAAGUAUAGUAUUCUACAGCGAAACUGCGAAUGGCUCAUUAAAACAGUUAUAGUUUAUUUGAUGGAUCAAGAUAUGGAUAACCGUAGUAAUUCUAGAGCUAAUACAUGCGUGAAAGCCCAACUCAAGAAGGGC
rnacentral:rRNA from 1 species